rnacentral:rRNA from 1 species
AGCGAACGCUGGCGGCAGGCCUAACACAUGCAAGUCGAACGAAGUCUUCGGACUUAGUGGCGGACGGGUGAGUAACACGUGGGAACGUACCUUUUGGUUCGGAACAACUCAGGGAAACUUGAGCUAAUACCGAAUGUGCCCUUCGGGGGGAAAGAUUUAUCGCCACUAGAGCGGCCCGCGUUAGAUUAGCUAGUUGGUGG